UACGUAGGGGGCCAGCGUUGCUCGGAAUUACUGGGCGUAAAGGGUCCGUAGGCGGUGCGGCAAGUCGGAAGUGAAAUCUCUGGGCUUAACCCAGAGGCUGCUUCCGAAACUGCCGUGCUAGAGGAUGAGAGAGGCAAGUGGAAUUGCGGGUGUAGCGGUGAAAUGCGUAGAUAUCCGCAGGAACAUCCGAGGCGAAAGCGGCGCGCUGGACCACAACUGACGCUGAGGAACGAAAGCUAGGGGAGCAAACAGG
rnacentral:rRNA from 1 species